GACGAACCGUGCGAACGUUGUUCGGAAUCACUGGGCUUAGAGGGCGCGUAGGCGGACUCGCAAGUCUGUGGUGAAAGCCCCCAGCUCAACUGGGGAAGGGCCUUGGAUACUGCGAGUCUGGAGGAGGGUAGGGGCAUCUGGAACGCUGGGUGGAGCGGUGAAAUGCGUUGAUAUCCAGCGGAACUCCGGUGGCGAAGGCGAGGUGCUGGACCCUUUCUGACGCUGAGGCGCGAAAGCGUGGGGAGCAAACAGG
rnacentral:rRNA from 1 species